AUUGAACGCUGGCGGCAGGCCUAACACAUGCAAGUCGAGCGAGCGGCGGACGGGUGAGUAAUGUAUGGGGACUGCCCGAUAGAGGGGGAUAACUACUGGAAACGGUGGUUAAUACCGCAUACUAACGGAUAACGCCUAUGUGAUUAGCUAGUAGGUGGGGUACAUGCUCACCUAGGCGACGAUCUCUAGCUGGUCUGAGAGGAUGAUCAGCCAAACUGGGACUGAGACACGGUCCAGACUCCUACGGAGGCAGCAGUGGGGAAUAUUGGACAAUGGGCGCAAGCCUGAUGCAGCCAUGCCGCGUGUAUGAAGAAGGUCUUAGGGUUGUAAAGUACUUUAAGCGGGGAGGCGUUACCAGCAGAAGAAGCACCGGCUAACUCCGUGCCAGCAGCCGCGGUAAUAC
rnacentral:rRNA from 1 species